UGUAUCGAACGCCAUGGGAUGCUUUACACAUGCAAGUCGAACGGCAGCACGUGACUUCGGUCUGGUGGCGAGUGGCGAACGGGUGAGUAAUGUAUCGGAACGUGCCUAGUAGCGGGGGAUAACUACGCGAAAGCGUAGCUAAUACCGCAUACACCCUCGGGGAAAGCGGGGACCUGGGCCGCACUAUUAGAGCGGCCGAUAUCGGAUUAGCUAGUUGCGGGGUGCAACGGCUCACCAAGGCGACGAUCCGUAGCUGGUUUGAGAGGACGACCAGCCACACUGGGACUGAGACACGGCCCAGACUCCUACGGGAGGCAGCAGUGGGGAAUUUUGGACAAUGGGGGAAACCUGAUCCAGCCAUCCCGCGUGUGCGAUGGAGCCGCCUUCGGGUUGUAAAGCACUUUUGGCAGGAAAGAAACGGCACGGGAUAAUACCCCGUGCAACUGACGGUACCUGCAGAAUAAGCACCGGCUAACUACGCCAGCAGCCGCGGUAAUACGUAGGGUGCAAGCGUUAAUCGGAAUUACUGGGCGUAAGCGUGCGCAGGCGGUUCGGAAAGAAAGAUGUGAAAUCCCAGAGCUUAACUUUGAACUGCAUUUAACUACCGGAGCUAGAGUGUGUCAGAGGGAGGUGGAAUUCCGCGUAGCAGUGAAAUGCGUAGAUAUGCGGAGGAACACCGAUGGCGAAGGCAGCCUCUGGGAUAACACUGACGCUCAUGCACGAAAGCGUGGGGAGCAAACAGGAUUAUUGACCUGGUAGUCCACGCCCUAAACGAUGUCAACUAGCCGUUGGGGCCUUCGGGCUCUGGUAGCGCAGCUAACGCGUGAAGUUGACCGCCUGGGGAAAAUUUCUGCCUGCAAGAUUAAAACCUGCAAAGGAACGACGGGACCCGCACAAGCGGUGGAUGAUGUGGAUUAAUUCGAUGCAACGCGAAAAACCUUACCUACCCUUGACAUGUCUGGAAUCCCGAAGAGAUUUGGGAGUGCUCGCAAGAGAACCGGAACACAGGUGCUGCAUGGCUGUCGUCAGCUCGUGUCGAGAUGUUGGGUUAAGUCCCGCAACGAGCGGCAACCCUGUCAUUAGUUGCUACGAAAGGGCACUCGAAUGAGACUGCCGGUGACAAACCGGAGGAAGGUGGGGAUGACGUCAAGUCCUCAUGGCCCUUAUGGGUAGGGCUUCACACGUCAUACAAUGGUCGGGACAGAGGGUCGCCAACCCGCGAGGGGGAGCCAAUCCCAGAAACCCGAUCGUAGUCCGGAUCGCAGUUCGCAACUCGACUGCGUGAAGUCGGAAUCGCUAGUAAUCGCGGAUCAGCAUGUCGCGGUGAAUACGUUCCGGGUCUUGUACACACCGCCCGUCACACCAUGGGAGUGCUACCAGAAGCAGCGAGCUUCAACUGCAAGGAGGGCGAUUACCACGGUAGGAUUCAUGACUGGGGUGAAGUCGAACAAGGUAG
rnacentral:rRNA from 1 species